rfam:Bacillus sp. 2_A_57_CT2 genomic scaffold supercont1.3, whole genome shotgun sequence.
GAGGAAAAGAAGAAGCACCCGCUUCUCACCUGAUUGACGCAAAGUGCAGUUGGCAGGUUUUACGUGAACAUUUUCUGUUUAUAUACGUAAGUGUGGGUGUUUUCAUCCGCACUUUUUUAUUUGG